rnacentral:lncRNA from 13 species
CCUGGGGGUACCUAGGGUAUAGGUAUGGGGGUACUCUGAUGGGGUCAUCAGAGCCUCCUGCAUGGGGAGGCUGUGGCACAUCACAGCUGGAGGCCUCUCUGAGGUACAGAGCACCUCCUGGGCUGCCACAGAAUGGGAAAGUGUCAGUCUCUACAAGUUACUCUCUCCAUCCCAUGAAGGACCCUCCAUUGUUGUUUAUCCAGACCCAGAUUGUGUGGGCGCUGAAGCAACAGACCCGAGAGUUACCUAAGACUUUCGGGGAGGCAGGCUCGGGGCACCCCAUGCAGCCCCAGGAAGGAAGGACAUCCCCUACCCCGGCACCUGCACCCAGGGCACCAGGCUCCCCCGGGGGAGCAUCUGGCUCAGGAAUGUGGACUUUCCCAGGGGUGCAAGGGUUGGUGGGAAGAACUGUCCUUGGUCCGGGGAAUCCUGCAAUGCGCCUGAGGCCUGACAAGCACAGGAAGCUAAGGUCUGUGCUGGAGUUUCCCACCAAAGAGUCCCUGGAAAUGGCUGGAAAUGGCUCAUUGUCAUGGUGGAAGAGCCUGCUAAUGGAGGAAAUAACCAACCACCACUGCCCCCAUCAUCAGAAACAACAGCUCUAUCACCAUAGCAACUGGUGAGCCUGGGAGGUUAAGGCCCCAGGGAGUCUCAGCAGAGGAGUAGGGGGUGGGUGGCAGCUAGGAUCAGGGUUAGGGUUAGGGUUGGACUGGGCCCAGUUGCUGAGGCCAAACAGCUGGGAAGCGUCCUUCUCCCGGACAGCCAAAUCACAAGUCAGCUCUGUUGUCUGAACCUGCCCCAUGUCCCCAGCUGCACCACCAUCCUGUCUAGCCCGGUCCAUGGUGAUGCUCUCUCACUGCCUUCCUGGUUUCCCCUCACGUGCCAUUCCGUGUAGCCCCACAGACUAGCCACAGUGAUCCUUUGAAAACAGAACUCAGACCAGUUUAACACCAUCCUGUGCCUUCCAACCUACGUAGAACAAAAUCCAUGCCUCUGGUUAUGGUCUACAAGAUCCUGUGUGAUCCCUGUCCUGCUCUUCUCCUGCCGUUUCAGGCCACAGCUCCUUUUCUUGUUCUGCUCCAAGUGCUCAAACCUUUUCGCAUUAUGGAACCAAGACCAACUUUGUUCCCAUGUCAGGACCAGUGUGCUUACUGUUCUCAUGCCUUCUCCAAAGGUUCAUACAGCUGACUUGCCAUUCAGGUCUCAGUUCCAAUGUUACAUACCCUCAUCAAGUCUUUCCCCGACACCUCUCACUAAAGUGCCUCCCAGUAGGCUUCAAGCAGUCAUCACCCUUAAAAUAUUUUGUUUGGGCUUUAUUUGCAUAUUUCCUAGCUUCUCAACUAGAAGCCAAGAUCCAUGAGGUCAUGGAUGGUAUCCUGAUCCCCGUGGUAUCCCCAGUACCUAGUACAAUAUCUGUCACAAAGCCACACUCAGAAACACUGAUGAGGUCAAUUAAUUUGGGUUGAUUUAUACAGUCUCAAAUUUCCUGGUUCUAUUGUUUAAUCAGAAUCUAAAGAUUCUGGUUUCAUUGUUUAACUUUCCACUUACUCAUCUACCAAUCUGUCCAUCAUCCAUUCAUCCAACCAUUAUCCAUCCAUCCAUUCAUGCAUCCAUCCAUUCAUCCAUCCAUCCAUCCAUAUAUCCAUCCAUCCAUUCAUGCAUCCAUCCAUCCAUCCAUCCAUCCAUCCAUAUAUCCAUCCAUCCAUUCAUGCAUCCAUCUAUCCAUCUAUCCAUCCAUCCAUCCAUCCAUUCAUAUAUCCGUCCAUGCACUUAUCCUUCCAUGCAUCUAUCUAACCAUACACAUACACCUUCACACCCAUCCACCAAACCAUCCUUAGCACCUACUCUGUGCUUGGUGCUGAGGACCGAGGUUUAACCAGGACAUGAAAUCUACCCUAGAGAAACUCCCAGCCUUGUCCUCCUGUUCCCUCUGUUCCCCAUACUGUGAGCUGCUCCAGGUAGAAACUACACUAACCUUAUAGAUAGACGCAGGCAAAGUUCUAGGAGUUCAAAGUUCAACCUCUGCCUCCUAGGAGGCUGCUCCAGUUUGUAUAUAGGUCUACGCCUUCUUGGGCUUUAGAUUUAGACCUUCACUGCUUUUUUCUGUGCCCUGGUCACCGUUGGCUGACCCCCGGGGCAGAGCCAACAAAUUUAACCAGAUCCUAGGCUCCUCCAGAUAUAAGGGAUUUGAGGAGAAGACUCUGCUCCAUCUUGAAGAGUCAGCUAAAGCAUUUCAAAAUUCAGAAUGAAUUUCUGAGGGCCUGAUGUGGGGUGUGAUCUUUGUGCUACAAAACAAGAGGAAGGAGAAAGAUAAUGCCUGGAACAGGAAAGAACUUCCUGGGGGAGUUAGGGCUAGAGCUGGACUCAAAGGAAGGGGGCCCUAGGGAGGAGGAGUAAGGGUGAGAAGUAUGAUGCAGAGGCAGGGAUGAGUGUAGUAUGAAUUUGGGCUGUGAGUGGGGAAGCACAAGACUAGUAUCCAGUGAACUCCUACUCAUCCUUCAACACCCAAUCCAAAUGACUCCCACUUGAGAAGCCUUCCCUAAAUUGCCCACUCCCAUCCUCCCGUUCUCCCAUUCUCUUCAGACAGAGAGAAUAAUGAUGGAAAUGGUGAUGUUAAUAAUAAUCAUAACAGUUAGCUAACAGCUUCCAUGCCAGGCACAGUAAUAAAUACCUUGUGUCUAUUAUCUCA